UCAAGAUGCUUUGCAAAGGGAAUGUGUUC
rnacentral:piRNA from 1 species